rnacentral:rRNA from 1 species
UGUAACAAGGUCUCCGUAGGUGAACCUGCGGAGGGAUCAUUACAAGUGACCCCCGGCUCCGGCUGGGAUGAUCAUAACCCUUUGCUGUCCGACUCUGUUGCCUCCGGGGCGACCCUGCCUCCGGGCGGGGGCCCCGGGUGGACACAUUCAAACUCUUGCGUAACUUUGCAGUCUGAGUAAAUUUAAUUAAUAAAUUAAAACUUUCAACAACGGAUCUCUUGGUUCUGGCAUCGAUGAAGAACGCAGCGAAAUGCGAUAAGUAAUGUGAAUUGCAGAAUUCAGUGAAUCAUCGAAUCUUUGAACGCACAUUGCGCCCCCUGGUAUUCCGGGGGGCAUGCCUGUUCGAGCGUCAUUUCACCACUCAAGCCUCGCUUGGUAUUGGGCGACGCGGUCCGCCGCGCGCCUCAAAUCGACCGGCUGGGUCUUCUGUCCCCUCAGCGUUGUGGAAACUAUUCGCUAAAGGGUGCCACGGGAGGCUACGCCGUAAAACAAGCCCAUUUUCUAAGGUGACCUCGAUCAAGUAAUGGUAAAUUUAAUCCC